rnacentral:rRNA from 1 species
UAGGGAAUCUUCGGCAAUGGACGAAAGUCUGACCGAGCAACGCCGCGUGAGUGAAGAAGGUUUUCGGAUCGUAAAACUCUGUUGUUAGAGAAGAACAAGGACGUUAGUAACUGAACGUCCCCUGACGGUAUCUAACCAGAAAGCCACGGCUAACUACGUGCCAGCAGCCGCGGUAAUACGUAGGUGGCAAGCGUUGUCCGGAUUUAUUGGGCGUAAAGCGAGCGCAGGCGGUUUCUUAAGUCUGAUGUGAAAGCCCCCGGCUCAACCGGGGAGGGUCAUUGGAAACUGGGGGACUGGAGUGCAGAAGAGGAGGGUGGAAUUCCAUGGUUGGCGGUGAAAUGCGUGGAUAUAUGGAGGAACACCAGUGGCGAAGGCGGCUCUCUGGUCGGUAACUGACGCUGAGGCUCGAAAGCGUGGGAGCAAACAGG